ACGGCUCAGUAACACGUGGACAACCUACCCUUAGGCCUGGGAUAAACCUGGGAAACUGGGUAUAAUACCGGAUAGGUCUCGGAUGCUGGAAUGCAUCGAGGCUAAAAGCUCCGGCGCCUAAGGAUGGGUCUGCGGCCUAUCAGGGUAGUAGUGGGUGUAAUGUACCUACUAGCCUACGACGGGUACGGGUCGUGAGAGCGAGAGCCCGGAGAUGGAUUCUGAGACACGAAUCCAGGCCCUACGGGGUGCAGCAGGCGCGAAAACUUUACAAUGCUGGAAACAGCGAUAGGGGGACUUUGAGUGCCAGGAUACAAUUCUGGCUGUCGUGAUGCCUAAAAAGCAUUGCAUAGCAAGGGCCGGGCAAGACCGGUGCCAGCCGCCGCGGUAACACCGGCGGCUCGAGUGGUAACCGCUAUUAUUGGGUCUAAAGGGUCUGUAGCCGGCUGGAUAAGUCUCUUGGGAAAUCUGGCUGCUCAACAGUCAGGCCUUCAGGAGAUACUGUCCGGCUCGAGACCGGGAGAGGUGAGAGGUACUUCAGGGGUAGGGGUGAAAUCUUGUAAUCCUUGAAGGACCACCAGUGGCGAAGGCGUCUCACCAGAACGGAUCUGACGGCAAGGGACGAAAGCUAGGGGCACGAACCGGAUUAGAUACCCGGGUAGUCCUAGCCGUAAACGAUACUCGCUAGGUGUCGGCCACGGUGCGACCGUGGUCGGUGCCGUAGGGAAGCCGUGAAGCGAGCCACCUGGGAAGUACGGCCGCAAGGCUGAAACUUAAAGGAAUUGGCGGGGGAG
rnacentral:rRNA from 1 species